rnacentral:tRNA from 1 species
GGCGCGGUGGCUGAGCAGUAAAGCGCUUGGCUUCCGAACCGGGGGUCCCAGGUUCGAAUCCUGGUAUUUUCA